rnacentral:rRNA from 1 species
UGGUGGGUUGCCUUGUCAGGUUGAUUCCGGUAACGAACGAGACCUCAGCCUGCUAAAUAGUCACGUCCACCUUGGUGGAUGCCUGACUUCUUAGAGGGACUAUUGGCGUUUAGCCAAUGGAAGUGUGAGGCGAUAACA